AUGUGGUAUUUGGAGCUGGGUGUACAUAGUGUGGUUUUCAAUCUCUGGCAAUUUCAUCCUUUCUUUAAAUACUCAUGUCACAUUUGUGCUGUUGUCAGUGCUUCUCAGACCCUCCAGAAGAGAGGGAGCUGCUUAUUGCAUGAUUCUCAGGACAGCUUCAUCCAGACACUGGCAAUGGUAAGAUUUCAACUGUUUUCUUUGGAAAUUUUUGUUGUGGGGGAUGGGCACAGAGUAUAAUUAGUCAAGUAUGGUUCUCACCCAAGAAAGCUUCAAUGUGAAAAAAUCAAGUGGGGUGUGUGUGUGUGUGUGUGUGUGUGUGUUCUGUGAAUAUAUUAAUAUAACUCUGUGUGUGUCUUGAUGAAGCUUAGGAGAGCUUCUUGGCAGCAGAGCAAGGAGAAGUCAUAAACCCAGCCUUCCGUAAUGUACUAGGUAGACGUUCACUGGAUUGAGUUUGUUCUACUUUUGUUCUUUCUAGGCUCAUAAACUGAAUAGAGCUGAAGGAAGUCUGGAGAACGUUCAGAGAUGAGUCCAGAUAGUGUCACAGUUGGAAAAUAAGUCCUAAAAGUAAUAUGUAGGUAAUAGUAAACAUGGAAAGAAGUGAGCUAACUGGAGAUGGUGACAUCUUUAAUCGCAUGAACUUCUUAGACACCAGUAACCUGAUGUUCUCCAAUUUUCCUAGAGAUAUUAAAUAAAAGUGGAGAGUUCAAGCA
rnacentral:lncRNA from 1 species